AAACUCUAGUUUCCUUGCCCAGCAGAUUUCAAGGUGGCGCUGAGUGGCUGUAAAAGGAGGAAAUGUGAAAUGGAAAUGGACCUCAAUGCUUUUGUGUCACAUGGGCUGGUUUCAAAAAAAA
rnacentral:snoRNA from 1 species